GACGAACGCUGGCGGCGUGCUUAACACAUGCAAGUCGAACGGAAAGGCCCUGCUUUUGUGGGGUGCUCGAGUGGCGAACGGGUGAGUAACACGUGAGUAACCUGCCCUUGACUUUGGGAUAACUUCAGGAAACUGGGGCUAAUACCGGAUAGGAGCUCCUGCUGCAUGGUGGGGGUUGGAAAGUUUCGGCGGUUGGGGAUGGACUCGCGGCUUAUCAGCUUGUUGGUGGGGUAGUGGCUUACCAAGGCUUUGACGGGUAGCCGGCCUGAGAGGGUGACCGGCCACAUUGGGACUGAGAUACGGCCCAGACUCCUACGGGAGGCAGCAGUGGGGAAUAUUGCACAAUGGGCGGAAGCCUGAUGCAGCAACGCCGCGUGCGGGAUGACGGCCUUCGGGUUGUAAACCGCUUUCGCCUGUGACGAAGCGUGAGUGACGGUAAUGGGUAAAGAAGCACCGGCUAACUACGUGCCAGCAGCCGCGGUGAUACGUAGGGUGCGAGCGUUGUCCGGAUUUAUUGGGCGUAAAGGGCUCGUAGGUGGUUGAUCGCGUCGGAAGUGUAAUCUUGGGGCUUAACCCUGAGCGUGCUUUCGAUACGGGUUGACUUGAGGAAGGUAGGGGAGAAUGGAAUUCCUGGUGGAGCGGUGGAAUGCGCAGAUAUCAGGAGGAACACCAGUGGCGAAGGCGGUUCUCUGGGCCUUUCCUGACGCUGAGGAGCGAAAGCGUGGGGAGCGAACAGGCUUAGAUACCCUGGUAGUCCACGCUGUAAACGGUGGGUACUAGGUGUGGGGUCCAUUCCACGGGUUCCGUGCCGUAGCUAACGCUUUAAGUACCCCGCCUGGGGAGUACGGCCGCAAGGCUAAAACUCAAGGGAAUUGACGGGGCCCCGCACAAGCGGCGGAGCAUGCGGAUUAAUUCGAUGCAACGCGUAGAACCUUACCUGGGUUUGACAUGGAUCGGGAGUGCUCAGAGAUGGGUGUGCCUCUUUUGGGGUCGGUUCACAGGUGGUGCAUGCCUGUCGUCAGCUCGUGUCGUGAGAUGUUGGGUUAAGUCCCGCAACGAGCGCAACCCUUGUUCACUGUUGCCAGCACGUUAUGGUGGGGACUCAGUGGAGACCGCCGGGGUCAACUCGGAGGAAGGUGGGGAUGACGUCAAGUCCUCAUGCCCCUUAUGUCCAGGGCUUCACGCAUGCUACAAUGGCUGGUACAGAGAGUGGCGAGCCUGUGAGGGUGAGCGAAUCUCGGAAAGCCGGUCUCGGUUCGGAUUGGGGUCUGCAACUCGACCUCAUGAAGUCGGAGUCGCUAGUAAUCGCAGAUCAGCAACGCUGCGGUGAAUACGUUCCCGGG
rnacentral:rRNA from 1 species